UGGCUCAGUCUGACCAAGUGUGGUGGAUAGGCCAUUUUAUGAACAUUUUAGUUGGGAAAUGAAGGAUAUUUUACUUAAUUUUUUAUCCAUUUGGGAAUGGGGGGCAAAGGGAAUAUUUACUUUCUAUGACAAAAUUUUUAAAUUGUACAGGAGACUGUUUUUAUCUUUUUUCAGUUAAAAUUAAGCCCCCAAGUCAAAUCAUAGACUUAAAAACUGGUACUCCAAAAGGAAAAGAAAGGUGUCUUACUGUGGGCAUUUGUCUUGGUGAACUAGCACCUUAAAGUCCAGCUAACCCACAGGCCGGCUGGCUAGUACAAGCAGACAGGUAUUUUUUUAAAUACCAUUUGGCAUUUUUAAACUUUGGCAUUUUUUCA